GGGAUUGUAUAUCUGUACUACACUAACUAUGGCCACUGAUUUUAAAUACUUGAGUAAUUGACAUUAGCUUUUUCUGCUCUUCAAUUUGGCAUACAUGACUUCACCUGUUACAAAUUGAAUUUUCUUCCUGCAGCCCAUGGAUUACAUCUAUUUGCAAACUGUGUUUUUAUGAAGAUGUAGGUGCAUCCUUUGUGGUCCCUUUGCAUCCAUUAUAUGUUGACUUUUCUGACACUUCACACUUGCCCGUGACAAUUUCACCAUGGGCAUGGGAAUUGAGCUGUCUUUGCCAUUGUAAGUAGCAAAAAUCCUCUGUCUGUGGUCACCCAAAUAUCGUUGUUUCAACUUCCAAGGUUUUCAGUUUUGACCCUAAUAUUCUUACAAAGUUCAACCCAACGAUCAUGUAGGCUGUAGAGAUAAAAUCAUUUGAUCAAGAAUUACACGAGGUUUUACCAUCAUUUGAAUUUAUGUUUGCACACCUUUGACAUACGCAAUUGUAUUGAACACUACUUCCUUUU
rnacentral:lncRNA from 1 species